rnacentral:rRNA from 1 species
CCUACGGGGGGCAGCAGUGGGGAAUAUUGCACAAUGGGGGAAACCCUGAUGCAGCGACGCCGCGUGUGUGAAGAAGUAAUUCGUUAUGUAAAGCUCUAUCAGCAGGGAAGAAAAUGACGGUACCUGAGUCAGAAGCCCCGGCUAACUACGUGCCAGCAGCCGCGGUAAUACGUAGGGGGCAAGCGUUAUCCGGAUUUACUGGGUGUAAAGGGAGCGUAGACGGCAGUGCAAGUCUGGAGUGAAAGGCGGGGGCUCAACCCCGGGACUGCUCUUGAAACUGGACGGCUGGAGUGCAGGAGAGGGAAGUGGAAUUCCUAGUGUAGCGGUGAAAUGCGUAGAGAUUAGGAGGAACACCAGUGGCGAAGGCGGCUUACUGGACUGUAACUGACGUUGAGGCGCGAAAGCGUGGGGAGCAAACAGGAUUAGAUACCCCGGUAGUC